UAAAAGUCCCCUUGCUUCAGACCUCAUUCA
rnacentral:piRNA from 1 species